UACGUAGGGUGCGAGCGUUGUCCGGAAUUAUUGGGCGUAAAGAGCUCGUAGGCGGUUUGUUGCGUCGGCCGUGAAAACCUGCAGCUUAACUGUGGGCCUGCGGCCGAUACGGGCAGACUUGAGUUCGGUAGGGGAGACUGGAAUUCCUGGUGUAGCGGUGAAAUGCGCAGAUAUCAGGAGGAACACCGGUGGCGAAGGCGGGUCUCUGGGCCGAUACUGACGCUGAGGAGCGAAAGUGUGGGGAGCGAACAGG
rnacentral:rRNA from 1 species